UAGUGACGCGUCUGUAUUUUAUAUAAUAUUGUCAAUAGAUGUCGUUGCAGUCGUUAUCUCCAGUGCUACCGAUCACAUUGUGUCAUACCAUAUAGUGUUGGAAGGGGAAGAAUGACAUGCAAACCACCAGUGAAAUUUGUGAAGUUUACGGAGACGAUUCUAUAUCAGUUCGUGUAGCGCAACAAUGAUUCGCUAGCUACCGUUCUGGAAAUUUCGAUGUGAAAGAUGCACCUCGCUCUAGUCGACCUAUCGUUGCAAAAGUUGAUGAAAAUUUGGACAUGACAUCGCUAAGGAACUUAAAAUUCAUCAUCAAACGGUUUUGAACCAUUUAAAACAGCUACAAAAACAAGAUUGAUAUUUGGGUACCACAUGAAUUGUCUGUGAAAAAUUUAAUGGACCAAAUUAACAUCCGCAAUUCUUUGCUGAAAUGAAAUGAAAUCGAACCAUUUCUGAAGCGAAUGGUAACCGGAGAUGAAAAGUUGAUCAAAUACGACAAUGAUGUGCGAAAAAGAUCAUGGUCCAAGCGUGGUGAAGCUCAGCAAAUGGUCGCAAAGCCAGGAUUGACGCCUCGAAAGGUUAUGCUGAGUGUUAGGUGGGAUUGGAAAGGAAUCAUCCACUAUGAGCUGCUCUAGCAUGGUCAAACGAUUGAUUCUACAUUUUACUGUCAACAACUGAUGAGAUUAAAGCAAGCAAUCGAAAAACGCCCAGAACUGAUCAACAGAAAGGUCUUCAGUACAACGCUAGACCACACACAUCUUUGAUGACUCGGCAAAAAUUGGGAGAGCUUGGCUGGGAAGUUUUUAUGCAUCCACCAUAUAGCCUUGCACCAACGGACAAAAAUUUGUUUCGGUCAAUGCAGAACUUCCUUCAUGGAGUAAAGUUGGAGCCUGAGAAAAUUACUUGUCGCAGAAAGUGGUCGACCAAAAUGGCGCUCUUCUAUGGAACCUAAUGUAUGACGGGAUGCUAAGGAGACACCAACCAACAGCCGUUAAAUUAAUUGCAUACGUAGACGACCUUAUUGUGGUAGAAGUGGUUAAAAACAUAGAUGACCUCCGAAGCAAAUGCAAUGAGUGUAUCAGGGUGUUCGCCAAUGGUUCUCCUCAAUGAGUUUAGAACUGGUUGAGCAAAAGGCAGAAGUCUUACUCGUAAGUACCAGAAAAGUGGAGGAAAGUAUAUCUCUAAACAUAGGGGAGUGUGAGAUUCAUUCACAGCCACAACUAGAGUAUCUGGGAGUAAUAAUAAUAGACCCAAGGCUCAAAUUUAACGAUCAUCUGGAAUACACUGCACGUAAAGCGAAUAAAAUCGUAAACUCCUUAUCAAGAAUGAUGGCAAAUAAAGGCUGCGUGGUUCCAACUGGCGAUUUUUAAUCGCAAAGGUAAUGAGGUCGGUUGUAUUAUCUGCGGCUCCAUUAUGAAUCCAAGCGCUAAGUAUUAAAUAAUUUGCCAUACAAAUAAGCACAGUGCAAAGCUUGUCGGCGCUAAGAGCUAUCAGUGCUUUCUGAACAAUAUCAAGCGAUGCUACUGGAGUAAUAGCCAGUAUGAUGUCCACUGACAUCCAGGGUGACGAAUACGAGCGGCUACAAAAGUUAUCAGAGCCAUUUUUAAGAGCCAAAAGAGAAGAGAGAGGCAACAGCUUAACAAAAUGGCAGUAAACCUCACUCAAAGGACCGUGGAGCUAUUAGUGGAUAGACAGAUGACAUUUCCUCCUAACCCAAAUACUAAGUGGAUAUGGCUGCUUUAGAAGUUAACUAUACAGAUUCCAGCACGACAUUAGUCCGAAUUAGCCGACGUUUUCGUAGUGCUUUGAAGCUUUUUAAGUACAAGGGAAAAAUUUAAAACUACACUCGGUCGUACUUUUACGGUGGAAAAUUUGACGACACUGACACAGAACUGGAAAGCUGUCAGCGAAGCGGUAGCGUCAAUAUUGU